GAUGAACGCUGGCGGCGUGCCUAAUACAUGCAAGUCGAGCGAACGGACGAGAAGCUUGCUUUUCUGAUGUUAGCGGCGGACGGGUGAGUAACACGUGGAUAACCUACCUAUAAGACUGGGAUAACUUCGGGAAACCGGAGCUAAUACCGGAUAAUAUUUUGAACCGCAUGGUUCAAAAGUGAAAGACGGUCUUGCUGUCACUUAUAGAUGGAUCCGGGCUGCAUUAGCUAGUUGGUAAGGUAACGGCUUACCAAGGCAACGAUGCAUAGCCGACCUGAGAGGGUGAUCGGCCACACUGGAGCUGAGACACGGUCCAGACUCCUACGGGAGGCAGCAGUAGGGAAUCUUCCGCAAUGGGCGAAAGCCUGACGGAGCAACGCCGCGUGAGUGAUGAAGGUCUUCGGAUCGUAAAACUCUGUUAUUAGGGAAGAACAUAUGUGUAAGUAACUGUGCACAUCUUGACGGUACCUAAUCAGAAAGCCACGGCUAACUACGUG
rnacentral:rRNA from 1 species